rnacentral:lncRNA from 1 species
UCUUUUUUCUUUUUUUCCUAGGAAGCAGAAAUACCCCUUGUCCUAUGGAAAGUUCACUUUUGUACCAAACAAGCAAAGCUGGGCUGGUCCACCAUCUAAAAGAUCCUCCAGGCUGUCUGACACUCAUUUUAUUAUAUUCUGCACUUUCACUGCAUUCCAUCCCACAGGCUAUUGACAAUUAUAUGAAUUGCAGCCAGUCACUAUUUUAAUUCUAAGUCAGAUGCAACAUUUCCAUGACUGCUUGCUAAUGCUCUAUUUAAUCUUUUUCCUUUUUUUUUUUUUUUUAAUUUGGAGUGUAAAGUAAGUAGACUGAAUAACUUGUAAUCACCACCAGAAUGAUCUUUAACAACAGGAAGACUUUAAAGAUUAUUCUGUUACAUGUACUUUAAAUCAUGGUAAAUGGUCACCAUUACAGCAUCAGAAAACCCUUUCAUUAACAAGCUUAUGAGACACACCACAGGACUGUAUAUUUUAAGUCAUGUUAUACUCAUUGAAUCCGUGGGAAUUUUGUCAUGAGCUUUCAGGUACUUUUGCAAAUUUCAUUCAUUUUCUGUUUACGUUGUUCAGUAAGUAGCCUCAGAAAUCUGCCCCAUCAGACCUGCUUUUCUUUUUAUUGAGUCCGGUGGAAAUUUGCCUACUAACUGGGGCAAGUCUGGGAUGAAUAGAAAGAAUAGCUGUCUCAGUGUGAGCCACACAUUAGACGCAGGAGGUCAAUUAAGUCAGAAAAUAGUUUUCUGUGUUUUAGAAGUUACCACAGAAAUGUUACCAAUGGCAAUUUUAAAGGGGUAAAUAUACUUUGAGAAAUCAAGAAAUUAGGAUAUUGCAGUUUUUUAACUGCAGGUUUAUGUACUGGGCAGAUAGUACAGAAGAGUAACAUUGUUUGCCUCAUUUUUUCCCCUUAGUCUAAAUUUAUACAAUAAAUAUUAAAUUCUUUUUAGUGUGAUGUGUAGUUAUGCCUUGUGUCUUCUACAAAGCUAAGCAACUUCUAUAAAUUAUAGUGUUGGCUGUCAAUUGCAGUGUAUUUACCGUAUACCUAAUUCUUGAAAGAGUGGAACAACAUGUAUUUUGUCAUAAAAGGUUACAAUAAAACAAUAACAGUAGAUAUCACAAAUG